GGCACUAUAGCCAAGUGGUUAAGGUGACAGAUUAGAAUUCAAAGUAGCUGAUGAUUCUAUCUGUUACUCUCUGAGUGCGCAGGUUCAAAUCCUGCUGGUGUCG
rnacentral:tRNA from 1 species